CACCGCGCCCAGCCGUGAAAUUUCUGGUACAAGGAAAAUGGAAGCUGAAGUUUGAAAAAAAUUUAAAGAAAUGUUCCAUUUGUUGAAGUAUUACGAAAGAGAGCUCUGAUCAAGAGGAAGAGACUUCAAACUAUGAAAUUUGAAACAGAAAUAUCAAAAAUUUUCACUGACUGAACUGUAUCUCUGGAGAGAUUUCAGGAGUCCUUUGAAGGAACCUGCCAGAAAGAGGAAAAUACUUGACCAGUAUAACCUCAAAAAAGAAGAAACACUGAGCUGGGUCAUGCUCUCUGCUCUCUGCUAAGUGAGGAAACAAUGAUAAAUCAGUCAACUGCAAACCUGGAGGAGUGCCCUCACC
rnacentral:lncRNA from 10 species